rnacentral:lncRNA from 1 species
UUGUAGCUCAGUUUGAAUAGCAUCUUUCCAUUUUGGCCAAUCUUUUCUUUUUCGACAUUCUUCCACGUUUUGUGGUUCAGGAUCCGUGUCAGGAAUCAAAGUAAUAUCUGAUGCUAUAGAGAAAGCAAAUAUAUCGUCAAUCAUGACUUUGCUUCGAUCCCAUAUUUUCUCAUCAUGUACAUAAUUUAUUGAGAUCUCUUGGUGUUCAUCUCUUAUCCCUUCACUGAGAUUUUGAACCUCUCCUGGGGCUAUUCCCACUCUUGGAAUAUGUGCUUCUUCUGGAGCGAUUUGUACCUCUUCUGGG